rnacentral:lncRNA from 1 species
AUGACAAUAGUACUCCUUAGCAGAGGCAGCAGAGAAGUAAACAGGAGGGUAGGCAUUAACCUGAGCCAGUGGGGAAAGGUGAAAGAGCAGACUUUAUGCAAUUUGCUGGGAAGAAAUGAUUCUGACAGGUGUGCUGGGCUUUUCCUUCCAGAUGUGAAUUCAGAAAACAAGUUGAGAGUGUGGUGGAAAUGUUUUACUUUGGGUGUAUGUGUUCAACAACUAAAGGAAUUGAAGGAGAUCCAAGGUGGCUGAAUAGGGAAAACACAGGCUGAUUUUGACCACAAGAAGAUACCAGAAGACAAGGGGAGAAACUGCAUUCCCAGGGGUCUGCUGGAGAGAAGAUUUCCUGGAAAAUCUACAGGAAAAAAAGAGAGAUUCCUUGGAGCAGCACACAGCAGCUGGCAAGACACCAACAGCGACUCCUACAGGCAGUGGUUGGUGAGGAUGCCAUCUACUCAGAGCAAGCCAAGAGGAGCCUGCAGCUGCUCUUGCACCACUGGCAAUCUUGUCUGAGAAGAACCCUGUGGACCCCACUGAUUUUUGAGGUCAGCCAGAAAGUUGGCAGAGACAGGGCGCCCACUUAACUCCAUGAAGGGAGAGUACAUUGCUUUCCUCCCCUCACUCCCACCAAGGCACUCAGUGCCCAGUAUGUGGUGGGGAGAAGAAGUACCAUUUUUCCAAAAUAAGGCACAUAGAGGCUUCUGAGGCCAGCACAAUAUUGGUGGAUUUUGUCUGAGGGAGAAAUCUGUAGUCCCCACUGACUUCAAGACUGGACUGGAAAGUUGGCAGGCAGUAGGGUACACAGUAAGCACUAUGAAGUCAGGGAACAUUGCUCAACCCCCUUCCCACAGGCAAGCUCCAGUCUCAGCUUCCAGAGGCUAAGAACCAACCAAUCUCUGUAGGGCAGGAUGGUUCUGGGGAUGGGGUGGCUUUCUCCAUGGACAGGGAGGCUCAAAGGGCAGACAGUGCACCAUGUGAUGGUGGGAAUCCUGUUAUUGUGUGAUAGGUUGGGAAACAGAAGGGUGUGUGGUAUGGUUGGAUAUUUGAGGAAUCACUGGGUCCAACUUUAGAAGCUCAGAAUUCCCUGAGUGCUAGGGAGGGUCAUUGUGAAGGACUCUGUGCUCACACUGCAAAACACAUAUAUCUUUUAUGCAGUCUGUGCAUCACAGUGGGUAGGGUGUACAGAUACUGUAAGCUCACCAUAGGCAGUUGGGUCACACUGGCACACA